AUUUCAAGCCUCAAGGUACUUGUUGAAGGCAACCAUGGAUGGCGAAAACAUCGGGUUUUAGGCGAAACAAAUUGCAAGUGAUGAUGGUGAAGUUUUCGCCGGUACAGCCUUGUGUAGGAGCUCCAACAUACGGUUUUAUUGCUUGGCUACUAAGCACUUGUGUCGAUCUUUUGCUAUCCUUCUUGAGGUACAAUUAUUCGUUUUUAACAGGUGUCAAUUUGUUUGCUAAUGAUGCAUGUUACUUGUGCAGCAAGUCAUUUAUUCUUCUCGGGUUGUCUUUGACUGUUCCACUCAUGGUAGCAUGCCUUUCUGUUGCAAUUCCUAUUUGGAUACGUAAUGGCUACCAGUUUUGGGUGACAAGAGAUAAUUAUGGAAAUCAAGUCAGAGGUUAUCGUUCUUUCUGGAUGAAAAAGGUGGCUUUUCUUUCGAUCGUUUCACAUUAACACCGGUUCAUGAAUUUACAGGCCAUUUAUGGGAGAAGAUUGAAACGGUAAUACGCUACACCUAGCAUUCAGUGUAUUUCCUUUCAUUUCAAAAUUACUCUUUCAGGUAGAUUAGUUUAUUUUUAUUAUUUAUUUUUUACAUUCUGAAAUUGCUUGUUUGGUAGUCAAAUGCAUGCUGAUGAAGUGUUGGUGAUUAUUUGUUGCUUUGUUUUAACUGGCUGAUGUUCGUUUGUGGAUGCUGUGGAAGCCUGCGUCUUUCUUGGUCAAAAGACCUAAUAUGGUGUGACUUAGUCUAUGAUGUGACAAAGUUCUUGGAGGAUCAUCCUGGUGGCGAUGGCGUUUUGGUCCCAAAAGACGAGGCGUGUGCAUCACGUAUGUGAGGCACACAUCUAUGUAGAACCAAAUAAGCUUUAUUUACAAGCAUAAGCUAUUUAUCAAGAAGGGAUGCAAUCAAUGAUUUUGAAGAUGUGGGCCAUAGCACAACUGCUAAAUCUAUGAUGAAUGAAUUUUAUGCUGGGGAUAUCGACGCAUCAAAAAUUC